rnacentral:rRNA from 1 species
UACGUAGGGGGCAAGCGUUGUCCGGAAUCAUUGGGCGUAAAGCGCGUGUAGGCGGCCCAGUAAGUCCGCUGUGAAAGCCCAGGGCUCAACCCUGGGAUGCCGGUGGAUACUGUUGGGCUCGAGUCCGGAAGAGGCGAGUGGAAUUCCUGGUGUAGCGGUGAAAUGCGCAGAUAUCAGGAGGAACACCAAUGGCGAAGGCAGCUCGCUGGGACGUGACUGACGCUGAGACGCGAAAGCGUGGGGAGCAAACAGG